AGCUACUUGAGUUAAUAAGUAGUUAUUUCUGCUCCAUGAUAAUUAAAUAGCCGCAGUACCCUGACUGUGCAAAGGUAGCAUAAUCAGUUGGCUCUUAAUUAGAGUCUGGAAUGAAUGAAAACAUGGAUGGUAACUAUCUAAGUGUAUUUUUUUGAACUUAAUAAAUAAGUGAAAAUACUUAUAUUAAUAUAAUAGACGAGAAGACCCUAGAAACUUGAAUUGAUUUUUGUUGGGGCGACAAAAUUACAUUUAACUAAUUUUUUUAAACGGGACGUUAAAACGAAAGAAUAAGUUACUCUAGGGAUAACAGCAUAAUUUUAAUAGUUUGUGACCUCGAUGUUGGACUAGGUAUUAUAUCCUUAAGAGAAGGAUAUAAGGUGCUCUGUUCGAGCAAAUACACCUACAU
rnacentral:rRNA from 1 species